GCGACUCUGGCGGUAUGCAUGCCUGCUCUAACGGAAGCUGACACCAGAGGCAGCGUCCACUGCCUUGUAUAAAUGAUCUGAAAGCGCUGCGUUAUUUUCGAUGAUGUUAAUUUGCUCCGUGUUGGAGCGCCGGUUCAUGGCUCGGUCAGCCUUCCCUGAUACUAUACUCCUGUUUGUUCCGCAAAAGGUUCUUCCGUCGCUUCAAGUUAGCGUGAGCGGCUCUGUGAACUGUGAAUAGACCGAGCGCUGGGAGCAGGCUGUGCGCACGCAUUCCGCCAGCCCGGGCGGCAGCCCCUGGGUCUUAAACACCUUCAGACGGUGAUUCGCCUCAAAAAAUCUCUUCACCCUUAUCUUAUUGCCCUUCCUUGCUCCUGAAUCCUUCAGUCCUUCCUCAUGUGCUCACCUCUUGCUCCACACAGCUUUACCCAGCAAUCAUGGAGUCCAUCCUCACUUCAUCCGUAACCAUCUGGUUUGACUCCUCCACCUCACAAGAGCGAGUCAAACUCCAGUGUAUCGUCUGGAGUGUAUAGACAACGGAGCGGAUUAUCGACAAAUUGUGUAACAUACUUGAUGAAAUAAAGUGAUUCUGAUUCUAAUUAUGUGCCUCUGUAGGCUUGAUACCUCUGGCAUCGGACCCUUCUGGACCCGUGACCAUGACUACGAACUUUGCCUGCCGAUUCAAGUACCUUUUCCCUGAUCCAGAUAAUAAUGUGCUCCGCAAUAUUGGUCCCUGAGUUUCCGUCCUGGCCGGGUGUGACAGCAGUUGGUUUGUACUGCAGAUGUUGGUGCCUCAUUUCUCUGCCACUUAAAUGCCUGAGCUGUUGAUUGAAAUAUUUGCUCUCUGGUGAUCAGGCAACAGAAACAUCACUGCAGCUCACAUGCCAUCACCAGUUAAUGUAACAAUUAUUCUGAUGUCAGCAGACUAAUAGCAUUAGCUAGUAGUUACCAUCCAUCCAUGGUUAAAAUGCCUAAAUCUAAAUGGUCUGAAGUGUGGCUUUGUUUCACUCAAAAGGAUCCCGAAAGCGGAAAGUAAAUAUACUUAAGGUGUUAAGUAA